UACGUAGGGUGCAAGCGUUGUCCGGAAUUACUGGGCGUAAAGAGCUCGUAGGUGGUUUGUCACGUCGUCUGUGAAAUUCCACAGCUUAACUGUGGGCGUGCAGGCGAUACGGGCUGACUUGAGUACUGUAGGGGUAACUGGAAUUCCUGGUGUAGCGGUGAAAUGCGCAGAUAUCAGGAGGAACACCGAUGGCGAAGGCAGGUUACUGGGCAGUCACUGACGCUGAGGAGCGAAAGCA
rnacentral:rRNA from 1 species